ensembl:lincRNA Gm37591 predicted gene, 37591
UAUCGUUCUCAUGCAGUUCACAGCAUCACAGGGCAAGGCAAAUCACUGACAAAUCAUUUGCAUGUGGUUGCCACUGGCUAAAGUCACAGACCACUGUCCACCCUUAAACUUCCUACCUACUCUGCAUGCAAGACUUUGGGCCCAAGACAGAGAUUUAUCAGCAAUAAAUCCAAUAAAUAUUAAAGAGGAGAAGCAGUCUCACGAGGUGUAUCCAAGAAGAGAUUUUCUCACAGAAAUUUUAUAGCAGAUAAGAGAACUCAGCCUUCAAGGGAUACAAAGGUCGACAAAGCAGUGUUUCUGGAUUUAUUGCGAGGGUGUGACAUUAAGACCUUUUAGUAGUCAACAUUCUUUUGGAUUUAGGGAAGAGAUUAUCACCACACCAGCUUGCUUUAUUUCACAUCUAACGGUCUUUUGGUAACAUGGCAUAGAAGCAGAGACCUUCCAUAAGCUUUCAUGUCAAGCUUAUCACAAUCCCAUGAUGCUGGGCCAGCAAGGCAGUGACAUUGGAUAGGACCAGAAUGCCAGAGCCUGUGGAUUGCGCUGAAGUGAAAGGAUGCAAUUGCAUGUGAAAUGGACAGAAUAAAAGCUUCAAGGUCACAGUUAAAGUAGCAGGGCAACCUAUAAGAGACUGGAAUUCACAGAGAAAAAGG